AGUAUGGUGCCUGAAUAAAGGAUAGUUUUGAUAGAACUAAUUAUGUAAUUAAUUACCCGUGCUU
rnacentral:tRNA from 1 species